rnacentral:miRNA from 1 species
GCAGACACAUUCCAGCCAAUCAGCAGCAGACCCUCCCUCCCAGACCUUCCCACCUCCUGGACAGCAUCCAUUUUACAUUUAUUGUGAAGCUGCAUUCUUAGUGAGCUGUCCAGGAGGUGGGAGGGUCAGGGAGGGAGGGUCUGCUGCUGAUUGGCUGGAAUGUGUCUG